rnacentral:rRNA from 1 species
AUGCCACAAGCUUUUAGAACUAUAGUGAGUCACGCAGAAUCUUAUCUGGGCUGCUGGUGCCUCCUAGGAUUCAGACUUAGCAUGAAUCAAAAAAGCAUAUCGGCAGCUGGUCAUAUAUUGUUUGGAUUAAAGAAUCAUCAAGUCCUCCUGAUAUAUGUUUGGAUGUUAGAUGGUUCAUGCAUAUUUCUGUCUACUUCUUCUAGACUUAUUGUGUUACCUAGAUUCCAAAACCAGUUCAACAUAGAUGGCAUUGUGAACUUGAAACUACAGAACUUAUCCUCUCUGUUUUUGUUUUGUUUUGGAAAAUCACAGGUCCCUAGAAGAAACUAG